rnacentral:rRNA from 1 species
GCACAAGCGGUGGAGCAUGUGGCUUAAUUCGACGCAACGCGAAGAACCUUACCAAGGCUUGACAUAUACCGGAAAGCAUCAGAGAUGGUGCCCCCCUUGUGGUCGGUAUACAGGUGGUGCAUGGUUGUCGUCAGCUCGUGUCGUGAGAUGUUGGGUUAAGUCCCGCAACGAGCGCAACCCUCGUUCUGUGUUGCCAGCAUGCCUUUCGGGGUGAUGGGGACUCACAGGAGACUGCCGGGGUCAACUCGGAGGAAGGUGGGGACGACGUCAAAUCAUCAUGCCCCUUAUGUCUUGGGCUGCACACGUGCUACAAUGGCCGGUACAAUGAGCUGCGAUGCCGUGAGGUGGAGCGAAUCUCAAAAAGCCGGUCUCAGUUCGGAUUGGGGUCUGCAACUCGACCCCAUGAAGUCGGAGUUGCUAGUAAUCGCAGAUCAGCAUUGCUGCGGUGAAUACGUUCCCGGGC